AACGUAGGAGACAAACGUUAUCCGGAGUUACUGGGCGUAAAGGGCGUGCAGGUGGUCUGUUAAGUCUGGCGUGAAAGCUCCUGGCUAAACCGGGAGAGGUCGUUGGAUACUGGCGGACUAGAGGACGGUAGAGGCGUGUGGAAUUCCGGGUGUAGUGGUGAAAUGCGUAGAGAUCCGGAGGAACACCAGUGGCGAAGGCGGCUCACUGGACAGUUACUGACACUCAACAACGAAAGCGUGGGGAGCAAACAGG
rnacentral:rRNA from 1 species